rnacentral:rRNA from 1 species
UACGGAGGAUGCAGGCGUUAUCCGGAUUUACUAGGUUUAAAGGGUGCGUAGGCGGAAGUUUAAGUCGAAGGUUAAAUCUCAUGGCUCAACCAUGACCCGCCUUCGAUACUGGAUUUCUUGAAUAUAGUUGAGGUAGGCGGAAUGUAUAGUGUAGCGGUGAAAUGCAUAGAUAUUAUACAGAACUCCAAUUGCGAAGGCAGCUUGCUAAACUAUGAUUGACGCUGAUGCACGAAAGCAUGGGUAGCGAACAGG